UUGAGUCCUGUGUCCAAUUCUGGCCCUCACUGCAAGAAAGGCAUUGCAGUGCUAGAGUGUGUCCAGAGAAGGGCAACAGAGCUGGAGAAGGGUCUGGGGCACAAAUCUGAUGAGAAGCAGCUGAGGGAGCUGUUUAUCCUGAAGGAAAGGAAGCUCAGGGGAGACCUUGUCACUUCCUACAACUACCUGAAAGGAGGUUGUAGCCAGGUGGAACUCAGCCUCUUCUCCCAGCUGUGCAUGUUUGUAGCCUUCCCUCACAGCAGACCAACCCAGGCACCCCAGCUGCAAAUCCACCUACCUGAGUCAGAUGAGAACUUCUAAUUGCCCAUAUGCUGUGGCUGGCUGCAGAGUCACAUUGGACCUGUUUGUGGAUGAAAGAAGCUUUAUUUAGUGAACUUAAAAAUGUGCUCAAUUUCAAACUGAAUCACGGCAAUGUCUAAAAGUUCUGAUGAAUUUGGCCUACUAUGGCAUGGUGCAUUUAAUUCAGCUGGAGAAGAUGAAGAGUCCAGUCUCUUUAAUUAGUUUACACUGGAGAAAGCAUCUGGUCUGCUGACCUAGGAGUAUUCUGGGCACAAAAGUAUUACCUUGUAAUUGCUUUUUCAAGAAGUGAAGUUGGAGAUCGCUUAGUUGAUACUGUCGAUACUGCAUUUGUGUGAUUCUGCAAGAACAUCUCUGUUGUGUGUUCUUGAAAGUUUGAAAACUGUGGGAAACCUAUGAAAGGCCACACUGAACUACCCAGGAGGCUGGAGGACAAAAAAGAAAGGAAAAGCUUCCAAGCCAGCUGUUCAGUCUGCUAUCUCCACAUGACAACUACUGCCAGAAACAGCCAGCUUCCUUUCAUGAGCAGAGGGGUGGGAAACAUGGCAAGAGAAAGGACUUCAGAUGCUGGCCAGGUCCAGAAGAGCCCUGCUGAGCUUUGCCACGAGAAACAAUGUAAGGCUUGUCACAGAGUGAAGUGCCCAACACCAGGGAAGAAAUGGAAAACGUUCCCUGCUUAAUUUGGCCACAUAACACUCCAAUACACGCCAAAAGGGUUGGAAAGCACUCAGUGUCACAGCUCUUAUUCAAAUAAAUGGACUUUUCUUUCUGUA